rnacentral:rRNA from 1 species
AUACGUAGGGGGCGAGCGUUGUCCGGAAUGAUUGGGCGUAAAGGGCGCGUAGGCGGCCCGGUAAGUCUGGAGUGAAAGUCCUGUUUUUAAGAUGGGAAUUGCUUUGGAUGCUGUCGGGCUUGAGUGCAGGAGAGGUAAGUGGAAUUCCCAGUGUAGCGGUGAAAUGCGUAGAGAUUGGGAGGAACACCAGUGGCGAAGGCGACUUACUGGACUGUAACUGACGCUGAGGCGCGAAAGUGUGGGGAGCAAACAGGAUUAGAUACCCUGGUAGUCCACACUGUAAACGAUGAAUGCUAGGUGUAGGGGGUAUCGACCCCUCUGUGCCGCAGUCAACACAAUAAGCAUUCCGCCUGGGGAGUACGGCCGCAAGGUUGAAACUCAAAGGAAUUGACGGGG